GAUGAACGCUGGCGGCGUGCCUAAUACAUGCAAGUCGAGCGAACGGACGAGAAGCUUGCUUCUCUGAUGUUAGCGGCGGACGGGUGAGUAAAACGUGGAUAACCUACCUAUAAGACUGGGAUAACUUCGUGAAACCGGAGCUAAUACCGGAUAAUAUUUUGAACCGCAUGGUUCAAAAGUGAAAGACGGUCUUGCUGUCACUUAUAGAUGGAUCCGCGCUGCAUUAGCUAGUUGGUAAGGUAACGGCUUACCAAGGCAACGAUGCAUAGCCGACCUGAGAGGGUGAUCGGCCACACUGGAACUGAGACACGGUCCAGACUCCUACGGGAGGCAGCAGUAGGGAAUCUUCCACAAUGGGCGAAAGCCUGACGGAGCAACGCCGCGUGAGUGAUGAAGGUCUUCGGAUCGUAAAACUCUGUUAUUAGGGAAGAACAUAUGUGUAAGUAACUGUGCACAUCUUGACGGUACCUAAUCAGAAAGCCACGGCUAACUACGUG
rnacentral:rRNA from 1 species